CGGGGGACGGAGCGUGAGACGGGCCCUCGGAUUGGAUGCCGCAGCCGCGGUCGAUGUAACUCCCUUUCCGAUUGGUUGGAUUCAGUCCAUACCUUUUUAUUAGGAGCCUCUGGCCCAACAUUGACCAAGAAGCAUUGACCUCAAGACAGCUUGGAGCCAGGCAAGGCCGCAGCGGACCCUUCUCAUGGAUCGCUCAGCGUCAGAAGUCAGUGGCCGUGUCAUAAGGACACUCAUGCAGCUCCGUGAAUGGCACUUCCUGGGAAGGAGCUGAGGUCUCCUGCCAACAGCCAGACGAGGGAGCCGUCUUGGAAGCAGCUUCUGCAGUCUGAGAGGAGCCUUGUGGUGCCUCCAGCUCUGCCUUAUGUAACUGCAGCCUCACGGGGGAGCCUGAGCCAGUAUUCCAUGGCAUCGAAACAGUGGCCAGCACUGCACAGGACUGGCUUCCCAGGUGGCACAGUGAAUCUCUUCAUUAUGAGCUCUCAAACCAAUGCAGCUUAGUUGUGGGAGAAGGAUUGGAAACUAACACUGAACACGGUGUCCAAUCUGCCAGGCUUUGAGGCUUCACACAUACUUUUUUCAUUUAAACUUUCCACCAACACUUUGAAGAAGAUGUUAUUUCCGUUUUUACAAAUAAGGAAAUCAAGCCCCAGGAAAGCAUGAACUACACUUAUAAUGAAAAGAAAUCUCCUUAAUAUAAAAACACAGACAUUUUUGAUGCCACAGCAGGAAGCUAAGAAGCUGAAAAUGGCAGCUGUGUACUUAUUUCCAGUUUGGUUAAGGUGACUCAGUUCUACAAUGUUUGAAAAGCCCUGUGUAAACUUACCAAAUUGAGUCUUUGUACUUGCAACGCAGACGACUAGACGCUGGCCCCACAGUUAUCUAAGACAAUGAAUGGGCAGGGCUGCUGUAGUCCCAGUUGGAUCCUUUCUGUGGAGUAGCUAAUUUGUAUAUUUCCUCAGUUGUGUGUGCACAUCCGAUCAUGUCUUAUGUAUAUUUAUAUCCUAUAUCUGGUGGAAUGAAUAGCAUUUUGCCCCGUGGAGGCACCAUAUGUGUAAAGCAUGGGGCGGGAAAUGGGAUGGUGUAUUCAGGGAAGAGCCACGUUUCUCCUGCAGAGCAUGACUUUCAGGGGGGUUGCUGAGGGAGACGCUGGCUGGACAGACGGACUUGGUUCCAUUUGUGAAAAAUCUUGGAACAGACAUCUUCCUGUAUGUGUUUUCAUCGAAGAUUUCCAAACAUGGGGUGAUAUAAGCAAACUUGUGUUUCAGAAAGCACACAGGUUCUUUCUUAGAACUUCUCGAGAAAAUGAAUGUAUGUCUCGUUUCUUUCCCUAGGUUAUAUGUCACAGUCAUACGGGGCACUCAGAAUACUUCCUAAUUGAUUAAUUGGCCGAGGGACUCUUUCUUUUACAAGCAAACAAGCCAACUUGUUGUAUACAAAGUGCUAUGGGAGACGCAGCUUCUUCCUGCAGGAGUUUACAACAUAGUAAUGAGAUAACACAGGAAGAAAAUGGGCCAGGAGUAAAAUGGCUUGAAUUCUACAUUCAUCUUCUCCAUUUUAGUUGUUUAUAAAACAAAUAUUUAAUAAGCACCUAUUAUGUGUCAGAUCUCUGUUAGACUUUAGGUAUGCAUUGAUGGGAAAAAUAGUCAUGGGCUUUGCAUGUCCAGUGGAGGACAAAGAUACCAAACAAUCACAAAAAUGGAUUCAACAAAUAGUGUAUUGAAUAAUAUGUGCCAGGCACUACUCUAGGUGCUUGAAACCAUAAUGAAAAGGCAGACAGAGAUCUGUGCCCAUACAGGACUUAUACUCCACUGGUAGAAGACAGAAAACAAACUCAAGACAUAUAAUAAAUAAGUAAUGUAUAUAUCUUAUUAGAAGGUGAUACAUACUAUCGAAAAAAUAAAUAGAAAGCCAGGUAAAGGCUUUUAGUAAUGGGGAGAGGGCAGAGAUAGGAGUUGGGAUAGGACAUCAUUUUACACAAGACAGUUGGAGUGGCCUCAUUGAGAAAGGGAUGUAUGAGCAGGAACUUAGAAGAGUUUGGAGAGUUGAUGAUGCAGAUAUCCAAGGGGAAUGCAUUCCAGGCAGGGGGAACAGCCCGUGUAAAGAUCCAGAGUGUUCCAGGCACAGUAACAAGGCCACAUCCUCUGCAGCAGCAUAAGCCAGGGGGAGAAAAGUGGGCAUAGGAAAGCUGGUGUAGAUUUUCCUGGGCUUUGUCGGUCACUACAGGGAUUCCCAGGUGACUUAGUGGUAAAGAACCCACCUGCCAAUGCAGGAGGCA